CGCACUUUUUUCCCUCCAUUUCUGGGAAGCCCUGGGUUUCAGCUGCAUUGCUCGUCGGGAGGAAGGCGCUGGGCUGAGCGACUGUGCGGAUCGAAUGUAGCUGCUCACCCCUUGAUUUCGAGCGGCCGUGCAGCUUCUAUGGAGUAAGAUUUGGGCUGAGAUCAGCUAGGGUUUUCAGGGCAGUGAUUUUCCUCGGCUUUAGCUUCAACAUGCUACGAACUCAUGAAUAGGAGGAAAUGCGGAUCAAAUGAUGGAGCGGUAGAAACAAAUUUACAUCAAGUUUUGCAGAAGCUUGAGAGCUUAUCCACGUCGAAGAAUCGUGGCUUCUUUUACUCGUUGCCUGGGCAGCGGCCGCAUUUAUCUCGGAUCUCUAUGGCAUGCGUGAUUCAACCCGUCGAUGCGAAUCAUUCUCAAGCGGCUUCGAAGGUGUGGAAAAGCUUAGCUGCGACACACAUUGACUACGUCAGGCCUGGGAUUAGUGCGCCGGUUAUCGAUUCUUCGAGUAAUAUUUGUCGAAAGCCCUUGACUUCGGCCGCAUUGCCUUCACAGAACCAGACGGUAUCUCAGCGCGGUCCGAUAGUUGUUGAACAAACUCACGGGAAGUCGGGGGCUGUCUCUAAACAUAGUGCUACUACAUGUGACUCUUUUGUGGACGAUGACUUUCUCGAGGAUAUUGAUCUUGAUCAGAUUGUCUCAGAACAUUAUGUGAAGAGCGGCCAACUUAGUGCCACGCCUGAAGGAUUCCAAACAACGCAAUCAGCUCCUGCCGUUUUUGGUGGCACCCAUGCAGGAGCUGGUGCGCAGUUUGCGAUUCCGCAUACAGGUCCCAUACUUUUGGACACGCCACCUUCAGGGUAUCCUGCCACUGCUUCGUCGACGAUUUGUUUGGACACGCCACCAUCGAAUACCGGCCCUCGAGAUUAUAGACGGGAAAACUUUUCUGAAACCCAUCAUAUCCAGAGGCAGUGGUCCAGUCCACCAUCGGCUCAGUUCUGUCAACCAUAUCCUCCUAGCGAAGAAAAUCAUAUUCACAGGCAAUGGUCUACGCCCCAGUCUGUGCAACCAUAUGCUUUUGAUGGACGUUUAUCGUUGACCACGCCGCAAUCCCGUGAUUACGUUCGACAGAAUUUUUCCGAGGUGAAUUAUGUCGAAGGUGCUAACGACAGACAGUGGUCUCGAAGUGAUUUUCCUUGGAGCAUGGAUUUGAAGGCGAACAACAGAAGAUAUUUUGGUAACAAGUCCUUCAGGCCAAAUCAGCAUGAAAUAAUCAAUGCAACCAUGAGCGGUCAUGACGUCUUUGUGCUCAUGCCGACUGGCGGAGGAAAGAGCCUUACGUAUCAGCUUCCAGCUAUUUGCUGCCCGGGUGUGACUCUGGUAGUCUGUCCUCUUGUCUCUCUUAUCAUGGACCAAAUAAUGCAUCUCUCACAGGCCAGCAUUCGAGCCGAACACCUAAGCUCAAACCUGGAAUACGAAGAGCAAAGGCAAAUCUUGCAGCAGCUUAAUUUUGACCAUUGCGAAUACCGUCUGCUAUAUGUGACGCCUGAGAAAAUUGCAAGAAGCGAUAAUCUACUGAGGAACUUGGAGAACUUGCACAGGAGAAGACUCUUGGCACGUAUUGUCAUCGACGAGGCACAUUGUGUCAGCCAGUGGGGUCAUGACUUUCGUCCAGAUUACCAGAAUUUAGGCAUUUUGAAGCAAAAAUUCCCGGACGUACCACUGAUGGCACUUACAGCUACUGCUACAAUGAGAGUCAAAGAAGACGUAGUUCAAGCUCUUGGUCUCUGCAAAUGCAUAAUUUUCCGGCAAACCUUCAACAGACCGAACUUAAGGUACUCAGUCGUACCAAAAACAAAGAAAGUCUACGAAGAGAUUGACGCUUUCAUCAAAGAAAACUAUCCUCAUGAAUCUGGUAUAAUUUAUUGCUUUUCAAAGAUGGAUUGCGAGAGAGUUUGCGAACAGCUUCGGAAAACCGGUCACAAAAUUGGUUUCUACCAUGCUAGCAUGGAUCCACAAGAAAGGAACAGGGUGCAACGUAUGUGGAGUAAGGACGAAAUCAAUAUAAUCUGUGCCACUGUGGCAUUCGGCAUGGGUAUCAACAAGCCAGAUGUAAGAUUCGUCAUACAUCAUUCUAUUCCAAAAUCAAUUGAAGGCUAUCACCAGGAAUCCGGUCGUGCUGGACGAGACAAUCUUCCAGCUUCUUGUAUUCUUUACUACAGCUAUAGUGACUAUGUUCGGGUAAAGCAUUUACUUUCUCAAGGAGCUGUCGAUCAGACUUCUACUGGACGUAGCUGGAACAAUUCUGACACUGCGAAUCAACUGAAAACAAACUUUGACAAUCUUCAAAGGAUGGGUGCUUACUGCGAAAACGAGGUGGAUUGUCGGAGAUCUCUUCAACUUGGUCAUUUUGGUGAAAAAUUUGACAGCGCAUCUUGCAAAAGCACUUGCGAUAACUGCUCCAAAGCUGUAAGUUUUGUCGAAGAAGAUAUGACUCCAGUUUGCCAGCAGCUUGUGCAGCUCAUCAAUGGUCUUGGCCAAAGCUUCACCAUGUCGCAUGUUAUAGAUGUUUUUCGAGGUUCCAUGAGCCAGCAGGUUAAAAACGCUAAUCAUCAUCUGCAAGAGCUCCACGGGGCAGGAAAGAGUUUAAACAAAAGUGUCGUAGAAAGGAUAUUGCAUCGACUGGUGUUUGAUGAGGUAUUGAAGGAGAACAUCAACAAAAGCGAUACAUUUGGCUCUAUUUCCUCAAUCUUAAAGGUUAACGACUACAAAGCACGGGAACUAUUUGAUGGAGUGUGCAAAAUCGUGAUGAAGUUUCCUGCUGUGAAAAAAGCUGACAAACCCGAACGCACUCCCGUGUCGACUAAAAAAGCACCUCUGGCGACAAAGCUAUCUGAUCCAGAAGAUGGACUUUCGUCUUCGAGUUCGGUCUCACCCGCAAUUUCGAUGGAAGUUUAUUCUGCUCUUCAAAAGUUACGAACGGAAAUAAUGAAUGAAAUUGGAGGGAAUCUUCUUCCGUAUCAUAUCAUGGGAAAUGGAGAGCUUCAUCAGAUUAGUAAGAGGCUUCCGAAGACCGUAGAUGAACUGCUAGAAAUCAACGGCAUUGGGAAGGUUAAGAGCAAUAAGUACGGUGCUCGAAUUCUCGAGGUGGUCGAUCAAGUGGUACGCGAGCACUCGAGUUCGGACAAAACUCGGAACAAGGUAUCCGCGGCGUCAAUGCCGAAGCGGCAAAGGGAUGCUCCAGACUCGGAGUGGAAAACCACGCGCUCGCCAAUCAACUUAGACGAGUUCGCGGAGGAGGAGGACAAGCCGGCAAAGCCAAAGCAGGGAAAGAAGCCUCGAAAGACAUCAAAGCAGCCCUUCCAGAUAUCGGACUCCGAGUCCCCCGACUCUGGAGCAAGCUUCGUCUCUGCGGAGCAGUGACUUAACUUUGGCUUGGAAGAUCUCAAGCAACUCAACUGACAAACUUGCAAGAUCACACGAUGUUCUCUCGGCAACUUACGACGCGAGGAUUAGUUUUUGCGAGUUAAAAAGCAUGAUCGCCGACCUCAUUAUCGUGACGCGGUGAAGGAAAGAACCAAGAAACAUUCUUUUCGGGGGCGGGGGUCCUUUUCCAGCUGUGCUGGCCUCCAAACGGCGGGAAAACGAAUAUGCUUUGGCAUUUGCGGCGCGCCGUGCGAUCAGGGGAGAUCGGGGCCGUUGACUACUAAAGCUGACUAGGACAGCUAGCACGCCAGGUCAGCUUUUUUGUCCCGCCAUUCACAUGAAUGGAGGCUGGUCUCUUUCCUCUUAGUCCGAUAAUCCCCAUUAGUAAUGAUUAAUCACGGCUGGGCAUCCAGAGCUUUUUCCUCGUGCCCACCGCGAGGAAAAAGGUAUCCAUGCCUCAAAUCGGUGGCA